GGCUGGUCCAAGUGCAGUGGUGUUUACAACUAAUUGAUCACAACCAGUUACAAAUUCCUUUGUUCCUUCUCCACUCCCACUGCUUCACUUGACUAGACUUAA
rnacentral:Y_RNA from 1 species